AUAUAUACAUAAUGAGUUUAUACUUGUACCUCCAAUUCUAAUAAUAGUGAUUGUUCUACUCCUGAGUUGUCUUAGAGCCAGCUUUUACUGACUCCCAACUGUAACAUUUUUCAGAAAUUUUGCAAAUUAGUUGUUAAACCACUAGCUUGAAAUGGCCAUGGUGGGACUCUUUACACCAUGGAAAUUGUCAAACUCUCCCAUCUAUGUGUCUGAUUCACAUAUUUACAACUGUGACACCCAAUCUUAUUUUUGAAAACCAGACCAAAUCUUCCAGUGACUUGCUGGAAGUCUUCUCACUGAUACUGUUGAUAUGAUCCUAUGAACACCAACUCCAGGCCAGAUAACCUGAUCCUCAUUUCCCCUAACUCUGCUCUUAUUCCUAAUGUUCAUCUUCCUACAGCUAAGAGGGCAGCUUUCCUCCCAGUCCCACAACCAAGGAAUAAUAGAAUCAUUUUUUUAUUUCCCCUUCACCUUAAUCUUCCUAAAUCUAGCCCCCAGGUUCUGUUGAGUGCAUCUCUGACCUGUUUCUUAUGGCCCCUUCUUUUAUAAUCCCAUUAUUCAUUUAGCUUUUGUUUUUGCUUGUCUGCUCAAUGGAAUGUUUAUCUUUCAUUAGUUUCUUACCUUGAAGGAGAAAUAGGUAUGAUAAUGAAAUAGCUUCUCACUUGUCGGAAACAUAUUCAAAGUAGAAGUUGUCAGGACAGAGUGAUACGUUUGCAGGAAACCUGAGCAACUAUGACUUAAAGGGUAAGAACAGUUGCUAACCUCACAGAGGAGAGUUGGAGGAGAAGUAUUCUCAGGUUUGGUAUAGCUGUCCAAUGCUAUCAUUAAAGACCCAGCCUUUUUUGUCAUGCCCAGAGUAUUGCCCAGAGUAUUGCCCUUUUUCCUGACAUUUUCAUUCUGUGGUCACAAAAUGGCUGCCCGAACACGUGCAUCCUCACACCACAGAGAAACCACAGCACAAGAAAGUAUCCUCAUUUGUCCAUCUUUUUUCGAGCAACAUAGUCUUUAACGGAGGCCCAACUCUACCAAGAUUACAAAAUAUGUAUUUAUUAAUUCAAUGAGUGUUCAUUGAAUAUUAUUUUAAGUGUUAGGAUAGGAUGGUUGACCACACAGACAGAAAUUCCUGCCCUGAAGGAACUUACAUUCUAGUGGCACAUCUGUUGUCCAUUAGAGGAAAUCUAAAUCUGAAUCAGAGGAGUUCAGAAGACCUUCCAGAAUUACCUUAACUUACUUCCUGCCACUAUGCUUUACUCUUUCAAAAACAGGAGCUGGGUGUUGAUUCUGGUGUGUUUGGUUCUGACCUAAAUUAUAUUUUUCCUGGCUAAUAUUUCUUAGCUUGUGAAAUUAACUUGGGUUUUUUCCUACUUUUAAGUACUAACAUUUGCAAUGCUAUUUUUGCAUUUUUUGGUUCAUUUUGGUCGAUUAUAGUGUUGAGAUUUUGUAGUCUUGCACUUUGAACAGCCACUCUUCCUUAAAUUUAGUGUGUCCUAUUUGAGAAGAAACUUAUACUCUAAAUGGAAACUUUUGCUGUACAACAUGGCUUUGGAAAAGUGCCACAAGAAUGUUUUUAGAUUGUAUAGGACUUGGCAAUGAAAAUAAUUGGUUUAAGAAAGACAUUAAAAAAUAAUCUUUGGAUUUUGACACCUCAUAGAAGAAAAGGGAAAAUGUUAUUGUGUCACUCUUUCUCCAUGAUAUGGUUUUCUUAAAGGAGAGCAGUAUAUGUUUAACUAAAUGAUAACUUGCUCCUUAAUGUCUAUUUUAAAAGCACAUUUUAUCAGUUUAGAUGUUGCAUUGGAAGAGCAUGUAAUAGAAAACACAGACUCUGUCUUAGUCCAUUAGGGCUGUAAUAACAAAAUACCACAGACUGGGUGGCUUAUAAACAACAUGAAUUUAUUUCUCACAGAUCUGGAGACUGAAGUUCAAGAUCAAUAUGCCACAAGCUCAGGUUCUGGUGAAGAUCCUCUUCCAGGUUGCAAACUGAUGACUUCUUGUGUCCUCACAUAGUGGGAGGGGCGAGGGAUCUCUCUAGAGCUUCUUUUGGAAGAACACAAAUCCUGUUCAUGAAGGUUCCUCCCUCAUGAUCUAUUCACCUCCUAUUGAUCCCAUCUCCUGAUAUUAUCACAUUAUUCAUUAGAAUUUUCACAUAGGCGUUUGAUGGGGUGGGGGGACACAAACAUGUAGCCUAUAGCAGACCCAAACUGAGUUAAGAAAAAAAUGUAUUCUCUCACAUAAAAAGUGUACAGAUUGAGUAGGCUCUAAGCAAAGUGUUCUCCACUGUGCAACCAGGCUGCUGUGGACCCAAGUUUCUUCCAUUCGUUGGCACUGCCAUUCUAAGAGCUGGCUGUAUGUCAGUCCUCAUGGCCUCUGAUGGCCUCGGCAGUUCUAGGCAUCGCAUUCAGAUACAUCUGAAUACAUCAUCAGAUACAUCAUCAAGAGGAAAAGGAAAAACUAUCUGUUUUUCUGGCUCUUUCUUAUGAGUGAGAAACCUUCCCUAAAGGUUCCCAGAAGACCUCCCUCUCAUGUGUUAUUGGCCAGACUUUGUUCACAUGCCCAUUUCUAAACCAGUUGCUGGCAAGAGAAAAGAAGUGGGGAUGUCAUGAUUGGCUUUGUCAAAUCAAGGUCCACUCCUUGGGGACAGGAUCACCUUCUCGUGAUGCACGUGGCUCUAUGGAGAGGAGAGACCUGAAUGAAACUGGGUUCUGCCAAGAAGGAGGAAGUUGGAAAGAAAAUGGAUGCCCUGUAGGCAACAAAAAGUCCUGGCAUGCCCACAAUAUUAGAAAACUUUCUUCUUAAGGAGUAUGGCUACAUAUCAUCAUCUGAGAUACCUAGGAUUGCUUUCUUCACAUGAUAUCAUUUAAUUUGCUAUUUUGUUUACUAUAGUUAUAUGAAUGUUCCCCAAGCUUCAAGAAUAGGACACAUACCACAAUGUAUCUCUGUGUUAAGUAGUUAUCUGGCAGUAUUUUUUUUUUCAAGUACACUUCUAAGCACUUUUAGCUCUUUUUUUUUUUUUUGCCUUUUUGUUUUUUAAUAAUUUUUUGUUUUUUAUAAACAUAUAUUUUUAUCCCCAGGGGUACAGGUCUGUGAAUUGCCGGGUUUACACACUUCACCACACAGCACUCACCAAAGCACAUAUCCUCCCCAAUGUCCAUAGCCCCACCCCCCUUCUCCCAACCGCCCCCCCCAAGCAACCCUCAGUUUGUUUUGUGAGAUUAAGAGUCACUUAUGCUCUUUUAAACUUCCCAACAGUCUUUUUAGAUAAGUAACAUUAUUAUCCCCAUUUUAUAUGUGUGUGAACUAAGGCACAAAAUGAAUAAGUAAUUUGUCCCAGACCACCCGGCUAGUAAAUGCAUUUUUAACUAUUUGGAAUAAUGGAAAGCAGAGAGGUAUCUGGAUACUGGUCGGAUCCUUUGCCCUGAAACCAAUAUGAUCAAAGCCUUCUAUCUACACAAACUGAAAUUUUUGAAGAGUGCAAAAUCCCCCUUUGAAGGUUGGAAAUAUAUAGAUUUUUAAGAUUUUAUUUAUUUAUUUGACAGAGAGAGAGGGAGAGAGAGGAAACACAAGCAGUGGGAAUGGGAGAGGGAGAGACAGGUUUCCCCUGCUGAGCAGGGAGCCCAAAGCUAGGCUCAAUUCCAGGACCUGGGAUCUAGACCCAAGCUGAAGGCAGACACUUAAUGACUGAGCCACCCAAGUGGACCCGUUGGAAGUUUUUCAAAAGGUGAAAUUGAAAUUUAUUUUUAGGACAAAUUGAUGUUAUUAUGAAGACUGCCACCCCAAUGGCUUUUUAGCUGUGUAAAUAAAAUGUGAAAGAUUUUUCCCUGAAAUAGAGGCUUUUUUAAGAUCCAAGGAGUAUUAUGUAACUAUUAUACUCCAUGCAUAAAUAUCUGCUGAGAGAGUCCUCUGGGCCAGGCCACAUGCUAGACAUACAGAGCUGAACAGCCAAGAUAUGGUUCUUGCCCUCGUGAAACUUACAGCCUAGUGUGAGAGACAGAAGAUGAACUAAAUGUUAACAAUAUGUUAGAUGAGACUUUCCUACUAUCUAGGUAUUUCGCCAGAAGUUCCAAGCCUGAGAAAUCACACAUUCGACAAAAAGGGUUUAGUUUCUUUUUCAGACAGGAGAGACAGGAGUUUGAAUGAGUGGUGAGUAGAUCUCAAGAGAAACAAAUAAAUAAGGUAAUUAUUCAUUCCAGGAGUACAAGUUAUGUAAGGAAAGGAAAGUAAUCAUGGAAUAUUAUAUAUCUGGGCUCUGAAUAGAGUUUACAUAAUUAUAAUAAUAUAAGCAGUAAUCAUUGAGAAAAUACAAGUACUCAAAAAUACACACAUACAUAGAGAAAGAGAGUGAGACCCAGCGAGGGGAGACACGGAAUGACAAAGAGAACAACAACAACAAACAAACAGAUCAGAGGAGGAAAGAGAGAGAUAAAUCGGUAGUAGAUGGAUAAUAGGCAGAUGGACAGAGGGGAAGUGUAUUGUGUGUGGUGGGGACAGUUACGGGAGAAAUCACAGGUAAAAGAAAAGAAUAAAUCCACUCUUCCCUAUUGAGAAGAUGAUAAAAUCUACAAAUGAAAAUUUUUAAAAAAUAGUUAAAAACAUGCUAUUUAGAGAUGUGUCAGUAAGUACCAAAAUAAGCAAAAGAGCCAAGCAGGAGCCACUAUUUGUGUAACAAGCCUUGUAAACUAAACGUGAAAUGUUAAUAAAAAUAAAAAUGAGCUUCAAGCAAACAGUAUGUGACCGUAUUCUCUAGCUGCUAAGAUAUUUGAGUCACACCAGGAUUUUAAGUCAUCAGAAUGUUAUGGAGAAUUCAUGCUUCACUGUCCAAGAAAAUAGUCUGUUGUUUUUCCUUUCGGCUAAUAUCUGAAUCUGUGUUACGGCUAACUUUUCUAACUUUGUUCUUAUGAACUACCCACGAACCACUGUGUAUGGGGGACAUUUUGAAAGCAAGAACAGAAGACCUGAAUUACUUUCACCAUUCAGCUGCUUAAUAACUGCCAAGCACAGCAGUGAGCAAAAAUUCCUGCCCUCUUUCGAGCUUUGGGACAGAAGGUGGGACAGAAGAGACAGAAAAAAACAUGAAAGACAAGCAAGUUAUCUGUUACGGUACCUGAUGACGACAACAGCUUAAGAAGAUUCAAUUGGCUGGUGUGAUUGAUAGAAUUAAGUGGCUAAUGACUGAGGAGGUGGGACAUUUCCAAUUCCAAACGAAGAAUUGGAGCAAGCAAUAUGGGAGAUAUCAUCUGUGAUUUUUCAUCUUGACUAGUAGAAAAGGAUAAUCCUUAUGUAAUUGUUUGGAACAUUUAUGAUAUAGAAUACAUAAAAUUAAAUAAUGUCUACUGCAGCCCCCCUCCCUUUGGACCUGAGUGAUUUCCUAUCCAAUUUUCCUCUCAUUUGGUCAAUUCAUUUUUCAGCUGGGUCCUCUUGAAGAAACAAAACAUAAAUUGGACUUGCCAUUGUGUCUUGGACUAUUUUUGGUGACAA